rnacentral:rRNA from 1 species
GACGAACGCUGGCGGCAUGCCUAAUACAUGCAAGUCGAACGCUUGGGUUUCCUUCGGGAACCCCAAGAGUGGCGGACGGGUGAGUAACACGUAGGCAACCUGCCUGUAAGUCGGGGAUAACUCACGGAAACGUGAGCUAAGACCGGAUGGUCGAGAGGAAGGCAUCUUCUUCUUGGGAAAGACGGAGCAAUCUGUCGCUU